ACAUGCAAGUCGAGGGGCAGCAUCAUCAAAGCUUGCUUUGAUGGAUGGCGACCGGCGCACGGGUGAGUAACACGUAUCCAACCUGCCGACAACACUGGGAUAGCCUUUCGAAAGAAAGAUUAAUACCGGAUGGUAUAGUUUUCCCGCAUGGGGUGACUAUUAAAGAAUUUCGGUUGUCGAUGGGGAUGCGUUCCAUUAGGCAGUUGGCGGGGUAACGGCCCACCAAACCAACGAUGGAUAGGGGUUCUGAGAGGAAGGUCCCCCACAUUGGAACUGAGACACGGUCCAAACUCCUACGGGAGGCAGCAGUGAGGAAUAUUGGUCAAUGGACGAGAGUCUGAACCAGCCAAGUAGCGUGAAGGAUGACUGCCCUAUGGGUUGUAAACUUCUUUUAUACGGGAAUAAAGUGAGCCACGUGUGGCUUUUUGUAUGUACCGUAUGAAUAAGGAUCGGCUAACUCCGUGCCAGCAGCCGCGGUAAUACGGAGGAUCCGAGCGUUAUCCGGAUUUAUUGGGUUUAAAGGGAGCGUAGGCGGGUUGUUAAGUCAGUUGUGAAAGUUUGCGGCUCAACCGUAAAAUUGCAGUUGAUACUGGCGACCUUGAGUGCAACAGAGGUAGGCGGAAUUCGUGGUGUAGCGGUGAAAUGCUUAGAUAUCACGAAGAACUCCGAUUGCGAAGGCAGCUUACUGGAUUGUAACUGACGCUGAUGCUCGAAAGUGUGGGUAUCAAACAGGAUUAGAUACCCUGGUAGUCCACACAGUAAACGAUGAAUACUCGCUGUUGGCGAUAUACAGUCAGCGGCCCAAGCGAAAGCAUUAAGUAUUCCACCUGGGGAGUACGCCGGC
rnacentral:rRNA from 1 species